rnacentral:rRNA from 1 species
CUUUGGUUCUAUUUUGUUGGUUUCUAGGACCGAAGUAAUGAUUAAUAGGGACAGUUGGGGGCAUUAGUAUUUAGUUGUCAGAGGUGAAAUUCUUGGAUUUACGAAAGACUAACUUCUGCGAAAGCAUUUGCCAAGGAUGUUUUCAUUAAUCAAGAACGAAAGUUAGGGGAUCGAAGACGAUCAGAUACCGUCGUAGUCUUAACCAUAAACUAUGCCGACUAGGGAUCGGACGAUGUUACUUUUCCUGACUCGUUCGGCACCUUAUGAGAAAUCAAAGUUUUUGGGUUCCGGGGGGAGUAUGGUCGCAAGGCUGAAACUUAAAGGAAUUGACGGAAGGGCACCACCAGGAGUGGAGCCUGCGGCUUAAUUUGACUCAACACGGGGAAACUCACCAGGUCCAGA